rnacentral:sRNA from 1 species
CUGCGUUAGCGAUUGAAACGGCAUCCUUUUUUUAUGCUGAACUGGAUUCAUUAUCUUUAUUUAAUUAUUAAAUUCAUCUUUAUUAGAGCAGAUACUGAAAUAAAUUCAGCAUAAAAAAAGAUAUAGUGGAAAGCGCGACUUGGU